rnacentral:rRNA from 1 species
UACGUAGGGUGCGAGCGUUGUCCGGAAUUACUGGGCGUAAAGAGCUUGUAGGCGGUCUGUCGCGUCUGCUGUGAAAAUCCGGGGCUCAACCCCGGACUUGCAGUGGGUACGGGCAGACUAGAGUGUGGUAGGGGAGACUGGAAUUCCUGGUGUAGCGGUGGAAUGCGCAGAUAUCAGGAGGAACACCGGUGGCGAAGGCGGGUCUCUGG